rnacentral:rRNA from 1 species
AGCGAACGCUGGCGGCAGGCUUAACACAUGCAAGUCGAGCGGGCGUAGCAAUACGUCAGCGGCAGACGGGUGAGUAACGCGUGGGAACAUACCUUUUGGUUCGGAACAACACAGGGAAACUUGUGCUAAUACCGGAUAAGCCCUUACGGGGAAAGAUUUAUCGCCGAAAGAUUGGCCCGCGUCUGAUUAGCUAGUUGGUGAGGUAACGGCUCACCAAGGCGACGAUCAGUAGCUGGCUGAGAGGAUGAUCAGCCACAUUGGGACUGAGACACGGCCCAAACUCCUACGGGAGGCAGCAGUGGGGAUAUUGGACAAUGGGCGCAAGCCUGAUCCAGCCAUGCCGCGUGAGUGAAGAAGGCCUGCGGGUUGU